rnacentral:rRNA from 1 species
UACGAAGGGGGCUAGCGUUGCUCGGAAUCACUGGGCGUAAAGCGCACGUAGGCGGAUUGCUAAGUCAGGGGUGAAAUCCUGGAGCUCAACUCCAGAACUGCCUUUGAUACUGGCGACCUUGAGUCCGGGAGAGGUGAGUGGAACUGCGAGUGUAGAGGUGAAAUUCGUAGAUAUUCGCAAGAACACCAGUGGCGAAGGCGGCUCACUGGCCCGGUACUGACGCUGAGAUACGAAAGCGUGGGGAGCAAACAGG